UUUUUUCAUUUUCAUUUUAAUUUUUGCAUAUGUCACAAGUCAAUAUUUUUUACCUUCUUCAAAUAACCCCCUAUCCAUUUUUAUACAGGCUCACUUACAUGUAAUACACAUGAGUGUUCUGUGAGACUAGUAGUAGGCGGGCAUUUUUAAAGUUUUUAUUCUAGUUUAUACAGGCUCAAUAUUUUUACCUUCUUCAAAUAACCUCUUGUAAAUCACCUCUAAUUUUGCACACUUGAUAUCUUGCACAAAUAACCUCCUGUAGAACAAAUUUGGGGUGAUUUGGAUGUGGUGCAAAAAAUCACAUUUUCUACAAAAACUGGCUUAAGUGAGACCAAAUGGUCCCUCGUAAUGUCAAAAAAAUGGUCCCUCGUGUAUAAGCGUGAUUUUUUCGACCUUCUCUAAAUCACCUAUAAUUUUGCACACUUGAUAAGUUGCACAAACAUAGCUAGGUUUUCAAGCUUUUAUAAUUAUAUUUUAUUUUUAAAUUUAUUCUGCCCUGUAGACUGACUGAUCAAAACAUCGGUCUACACCUUAAGGGGCAUUGUAGGAUACAUUUUUUUUUUCAAAUUUCUUUCAUAGACAUGCUUGGCACAUCUAUUCGAGCAUGUAGAAUAAAUUUGGGGUGAUUUGGAGGUGGUGGAAAAAAUCACAUUUUCUACAAAAACUUGCUUAAGUGAGACCAAUGGUCCCUCGUGUUUAAGCGUGAUUUUUUGGACCUUCUCUAAAUCACCUAUAAUUUUACACACUUGAUAUGUUGCACAAACAUAGCUAGUUUUUCAAGGUUUUACAAUUUUUUUAAUGUUUUUUGAAUUUAUUCUGCCAUGUAGACUGACUGAUCAAAACAACGGUCUACACCUUAAGCGGGCAUUGUAGGAUACAUUUUGUUCCAAAUUUCUUUCAUAGACAUGUUUGGAACAUUUAUUUGAGCAUGUAUAAAAAAUUUGGGGUGAUUUGGAGGUGGUGCAAAAAAUCACAUUUUCUACAAAAACUAGAUUAAGUGAGACCAAAUGGUCCCUCGUGUAUAAGCGUGAUUUUUUUGACCUUCUCCAAAUCACCUAUAAUUUUGCACACUUGAUAAGUUGCACAAACAUAGCUAGGUUUUCAAGGUUCUAUAAUUUUAUUUUUUUAUAAUUUAUUCUGCCCUGUAGACUGACUGAUCAAAACAUCGUUCUACACGUUAAGGGGGCAUUGUAGGAUACAUUUUUUUCCAAAUUUCUUUCAUAGACAUGUUUGGCACAUCUAUUUGAUCAUGUAGAACAAAUUUGGGGUCAUUUGGAGGUGGUGGAAAAAAUCGCAUUUUCUACAAAUAUGGCUUAAGUAAAUGGCCCCUCGUGUUUAAGCGUGAUUUUUUCGACCUUCUCUAAAUCACCUAUAAUUUUGCACACUUGAUAUGUUGCACAAAAAGAGCUAGGUUUUCAAGGUUGUAUAAUUUUUAUUUUUAUUUUUUGAAUUUAUUCUGCCCUGUAGACUCACUGAUCAAAAUAUCGGUCUACACCUUAAGGGGGCAUUGUAGGAUACAUAUUUUUCCAUAUUUCUUUCAUAGACAUGUUUGGAACAUCUAUUUGAGCAUGUAGAACAAAUUUGGGGUGAUUAGGAGGUGGUGAAAAAAACCACAUUUUCUACAAAAACUGGCUUAAAUGAGACCAAAUGGUCCCUCGUGUUUAAGCGUGAUUUUUUCGACCUUCUCUAAAUCACCUAUAAUUUUGCACACUUGAUAAGUUGCACAAACAUAGCUAAGUUUUCAAGGUUUUAUAAUUUUUUAAUUUUUUUGAAUUUAUUCUGCCCUGUAGACAGAUUGAUCAAAACAUCGGUCUACACCUUAAGGGGGCAUUGUAGGAUACAUUUUUUCCAAAAUUCUUUCAUAGACAUGCUUGGCACAUCUAUUCGAGCAUUUAGAACAAAUUUGGGGUGAUUUGGAGGUGGUGG
rnacentral:lncRNA from 1 species